rnacentral:rRNA from 1 species
GAUGAACGCUGGCGGCGUGCCUAAUACAUGCAAGUCGAGCGAACAGACGAGGAGCUUACUCCUCUGACGUUAGCGGCGGACGGGUGAGUAACACGUGGAUAACCUACCUAUAAGACUGGGAUAACUUCGGGAAACCGGAGCUAAUACCGGAUAAUAUAUUGAACCGCAUGGUUCAAUAGUGAAAGACGGUUUUGCUGUCACUUAUAGAUGGAUCCGCGCCGCAUUAGCUAGUUGGUAAGGUAACGGCUUACCAAGGCAACGAUGCGUAGCCGACCUGAGAGGGUGAUCGGCCACACUGGAACUGAGACACGGUCCAGACUCCUACGGGAGGCAGCAGUAGGGAAUCUUACGCAAUGGGCGAAAGCCUGACGGAGCAACGCCGCGUGAGUGAUGAAGGUCUUCGGAUCGUAAAACUCUGUUAUUAGGGAAGAACAAAUGUGUAAGUAACUAUGCACGUCUUGACGGUACCUAAUCAGAAAGCCACGGCUAACUACGUG